UACGAAGGACCCGAGCGUUAUCCGGAUUUAUUGGGUUUAAAGGGUGCGUAGGCGGAUUUACAAGUCAGUGGUGAAAUCUCCCAGCUUAACUGGGAAACUGCCAUUGAAACUGUUUAUCUUGAGUACAUUUGAGGCGGGCGGAAUGUGUCAUGUAGAGGUGAAAUUCUUAGAUAUUGGGAAGAACACCGGUGGCGUAGGCGACUAGCUGGGCCAUAACUGACACUGAGGAACGAAAGCCAGGGUAGCGAAUGGG
rnacentral:rRNA from 1 species